CUUUAAUAGUUGGUACAAUUUAUUUAACUCAAAAUGUAAUCAAUAUAUUUCAGAAUAUUUAGAUUUAGAAGAGAAUUGGAGGAUAAGAACUACAAAGGGUAUUCCUAUUAUAUUUGCGGGAAUUUGAUAAAAUGCAAUCAUCUACGCAGUAUUUUCUAAAAUGAUUAUGAUGCCAAACUAAUUUUCUCUCUCAAUCAGUUAAGUUAAAUAAUCAGAUAAAUGAUCAGACGCGUGGCGACCCUCUAAUUGACGGUGACUUUUCAUUAGGCUACCCACCGGGCAAGGAUUCAAAAGGAUGCGCAGCAAGAGAAUAAAAAAGAUGCUGAGUGCUACCCUUAAAUUAAAAACUCGUUGAAAAAAAAAAACUGCGUGUCUCAAGUUUUUUUCGUCUAUCUUUCUUGUGGGGGUCGACGGAAGCGCGCGUCAGACCCAUUUUUUUCCUUCUGGUUCUUCCUUAUCCUGCGGCCUAUUUGAAAGUUGGAUGGAGAGUUAAAUACAAAAAAAAAUCGAUGAAGUAAUUUCUAUUUAAGCAGCAGAAAAGGUUGAGAGAAGAGCAUGAAACAGCUUCAAAUUAGCCGACAGCAAGAGUUGGCUGAAGAAAGGAAACAGAAAGAGACGCAGAAAAAUAUUUCAACUAUUUUAUGAAUUAUAAUUAAAAGACAAAGUAGUUUGAUAUGCCCAAAACUUGUUGACCCAAUAUCCAUUCGAAAAUGAAGCCCCCUCUCCUUAAAUAAAUCAACUUGACUUCAA